rnacentral:rRNA from 1 species
UGGGGAAUAUUGGACAAUGGGCGAAAGCCUGAUCCAGCAAUGCCGCGUGUGUGAAGAAGGCCUGCGGGUUGUAAAGCACUUUUAUCAGGAAAGAAACAGCCUGGGGAUAAUACCUCCAGGCCUUGACGGUACCUGAGGAAUAAGCACCGGCUAACUUCGUGCCAGCAGCCGCGGUAAUACGAAGGGUGCAAGCGUUACUCGGAAUUACUGGGCGUAAAGCGUGCGUAGGCGGUUUGUUAAGUCCGUUGUGAAAGCCCUGGGCUCAACCUGGGAACUGCAGUGGAUACUGGCAAGCUAGAGUGCGGUAGAGGAGGGUGGAAUUCCCGGUGUAGCGGUGAAAUGCGUAGAGAUCGGGAGGAACAUCGAUGGCGAAGGCAGCCCUCUGGACCAGCACUGACGCUGAGGCACGAAAGCGUGGGGAGCAA